AUGAGUCGUGUACUGUGUGUUUUGUUGUUCUCUGUUCUAGUUUCUCAUGUGGAAUCCUAUAAGUUUUUGGUUAUUUCUCCCGUUUAUGGAUAUAGUCAUAUGAAGUUUAUGGCUAUAAUUGCAAAUCAGUUAGCAGAUGAAGGACAUCAGGUGACGUAUUUUCAACCAUUUGUCAUUGAAGCUUAUCUAGAUCAUAAGCUUCUAAACAACAGCUUGAUUGAUGUUAUAAAUUAUUGGCAUGACGAGGAAGGUCGACGUCACAUUCCUCCGAGCAACGAUCUCCACGAUGCAUGGUACUCGUCAAAAUAUCAAUCGGCACUUUCCGCUGUUUUUGAUAUGCCGCAGUUUUUAGUUUCUGCUUGGGAACAUAUGUGCAGAAAAAUCUUCCAAGAUUCCGAACUGCAUAAAAUUCUCAAAGAUAAAGAUUUCGAUGUCGUGAUUGCAGAAACUUUUGAUUUUUGUGGAUUAUGUAGACUAUAUCCAAUCAAAAUCAAUCGUCUCUGUUUUCACCGGAAGUCGUCUCAUAGCUAUCACUGAUCCACUUGGAGAACCUUCCUCUCUUCAUUAUAUACCUGCUCCAAGUAGUGACAACUUUGGUUCAUCUGCAUCAAUUUUCGAUAGAAUUAACGAUUUAUAUCACAAAUACGUGUUUGGCAGCGGUUACUCAAUAAUUUUCGAUUGGCAAUACAAUCAGAUUGCAAGAUUGACUCAUGGAAAAGUUAGACAUUGGAAAAAAAUCCUGAAAGAUGUCACAUAUCAUUUCGCAAAUUCAAAUCCGUACCUUGACUUUGCUGCACCAACAAUUUCCAAAGUUAUUCCAAUUGGAGGAUAUGAUAUGGAUAAAUCAAUUCAAACAAAAAUUCCUGAUGAAUUUGAUUCAAUAUUAAAUGAACGUUCAUUGACUGUUUAUGUAUCAUUUGGAUCAAUGGUAAAGGCAAAGUUUAUGCCUGAGAGUUACAAAGAGGCAAUGCUUCGAAUGUUUACUGCAAAUACACAAAAUAUUACAUUUUUAUGGAAGUAUGAAGAUCCUACUGAUAUAUUUUUCAAGAAUCGUCUUCCGAAAAAUGUGAUACUGAAAGACUGGUUCCCUCAAAGAGCUCUUCUCGCUGACAAACGAGUGAAACUUUUCAUAACUCAUGGAGGUCUUGGAAGCACUAUGGAGCUUGCAUAUGCAGCUAAGCCAGCUAUUGUGAUUCCGCUAAUUGCAGAACAACCGGAUAACGGUAAAAUGUUAGCAAGACACGGAUCAGCGGAAAUCUACUCAAAACACGACAUUCCUCACUGGGAAAAGCUGAAUCGACUCCUUCAAAAGAUGCUCCAGCAUUCUUCCUAUCAAAAAGCUGCUGAUCGUCUUGCUCGAGUUCUUUCUAAUCAACCAAUCAAACCAAGAGAAUUAAUGAUAAAGCAUUCUGAAAUGGCUGCAAUGUUUGGAAAAAUGCCAGAACUAACACCUUCUGUUCAAGAUAUGAGCAUCAUAGAAUUUUACAAUUUAGAUAUAAUUUUCUUGUUUUUAAUUAUUUCAAUUGGUACUUCAGUUUUAUUAUGGAAGUUUUUGUACUUUGUCUUAACUGACUCUGGUAGCUUCAAAUCAAAAGAAGAUUGA
rnacentral:misc_RNA from 1 species